AACGAACGCUGGCGGCAGGCCUAACACAUGCAAGUCGAACGGGGCCUUCGGGUCUAGUGGCGGACGGGUGAGUAACGCGUGGGAACGUGCCCUUUGGUUCGGAAUAGCCCUGGGAAACUGGGAGUAAUACCGGAUACGGUCGAGAGACGAAAGAUUUAUCGCCAAGGGAUCGGCCCGCGUUGGAUUAGGUAGUUGGUGGGGUAAUGGCCUACCAAGCCGACGAUCCAUAGCUGGUUUGAGAGGAUGAUCAGCCACACUGGGACUGAGACACGGCCCAGACUCCUACGGGAGGCAGCAGUGGGGAAUCUUAGACAAUGGGGGAAACCCUGAUCUAGCCAUGCCGCGUGAGCGAUGAAGGCCUUAGGGUUGUAAAGCUCUUUCAGUGGGGAAGAUAAUGACGGUACCCACAGAAGAAGCCCCGGCUAACUCCGUGCCAGCCGCCGCGGUAAAAC
rnacentral:rRNA from 1 species